CCCUUAGACGUUCUGGGCCGCACGCGCGCUACACUGACCAGUGCAACAAGCAUCCGUCCUUGGCCGACAGGCCCGGGCAAUCUUUGAACGCUGGUCGUGAUGGGGAUAGACUUUUGCAAUUUUUGGUCUUCAACGAGGAAUUCCUAGUAAACGCAAGUCACCAACUUGCAUUGAUUACGUCCCUGCCCUUUGUACACACCGCCCGUCGCACCUACCGAUUGAAUGGUCCGGUGAAGCCUCCGGAUUGGCGCGCACCUCGGUGCCGCCGAGAAGUUGGCUAAACCUUACCAUUUAGAGGAAGGUGAAGUCGUANCA
rnacentral:rRNA from 1 species